rnacentral:rRNA from 1 species
CUUGGUGAUCCUUGCGAGUUGGCUACACCCGUUCCCAUCCCGAACACGGCAGUUAAGCAACUCAGCUCCGAUGGUAGUGCAGCUUAUGCUGUGCAAGAGUAGGUCGUCGCCAAGG